CACUGCUCUCAGAGCUCCAGAAUUUUCCAUAGUAUUAACAUAAUAAAAAUUAUAGCUGCCAUGGAGUAUUAACUAUCUGAUGGUGCUACUGUAGCCUUCUUUACGUAAUUCUUAAAAUGACCCUUCUGAGUACUUAUUAUCCUCACUUUAUAACUGAGAAAACUGAGGCUUAAAAUCCUUAAGUAACUAAGUAGCUGAGAUGGGAUUUAAUUCAGGUCUCCCAGUCUCUAAAGCCCUUGUUCUCUCCAAGAUAUUGUCUUCUAAUUGUUUUCUUUACUUUUAGAAAAAGCAUGUAUUGCAGUCUACUCCCUCUAGUCUCUGACCUAUGACCAUCUUUAAUUCUGCAUGGAAAGAUUUAAAUGAUAAAGAGAUUUAAGUGAUUCAAGUAAUCAAUUUCUGAUUAUCUCAAGUUGCCAAACAAAGUGAAUUUGUCCCAUGAGCCAAGACCUUUCACCAAGAAAAGCAAUAAAACAAACACAUUAUUUUAUCUUUCAUUAUGUGGUUUUUGACUCCCAGUGAAAGCAACUCAGCUGUAAAAUUAAGAAACGAAAACCAAAUGGUUCACAAUGAAGUUCUGGAAUCUGUUCUCUUUAACAGGACCCAUCGUCUUAACAAAUGUUCGGUUUGUCACACUAUCAAGACAAGCAAAGGGAAGCUGUUUGUAACAUGACACUCAGCCAUGCUACAUGAGACCAAAGUGAUCUCAAACGUCAGAAGGAAAGGCUCUCUCUCUUUAAAAACCAGAUGCCACAUAAGAAGUUGGAAAGAUACUGGUAUUUGUUCAGGAUCUCAGAAGACCUCUCGACUCACGUGAGCCUGAUUUCCCUCUUUGUGGGUGAAGUGACAUUCUUAAUGAUGAUUUGAGAUGUCAGGCAGAGCCAGAAGACAGUCACCCACUGGCGGCCUCCAUGGAGAUCUGAGCCCUGUCCUACCUGGGGAAGUUAUACCUGGGCCUGGCCUCCCUCCACCAUUAGCCCAGCGUGCAGUCUGGAGACCCAGCUUCACAGACUUUGCCCCCGUGUGUCCCCUAUGAAGGGCAGACAGGACCAAUGCGGUGAUUUGACAUAUGUAUGCAUUGUAAAGCGGGCACCGCAGUCAAGUUCAGUAACACCCAUCACCUCAUGAAGUUGCCAUUUUGUGUUUGUGUGGUGAGAACACUUUAAGAUCUACUCGCUUAGCAAAGUAUGACUAUACUAUGCUAUGCUAUGCUAUGCUAAGUCACUUCAGUCGUGUCCGACUCUGUGUGACCCCAUAGACGGUAGCCCACCAGGCUCCCCCGUCCCUGGGAUUCUCCAGGCAAGAACACUGGAGUGGGUUGCCAUUUCCUUCUCCAAUGCAUGAAAGUGAAAAGUGAAAGGGAAGUCGCUCAGUCGUGUCCGACUCUUAGCGACCCAAUGGACUGUAGCCUACCAGGCUCCUCCGUCCAUGGGGUUUUCUAGGCAAGAGUACUGGAGUGGGGUGCCAUUGUCUACAACACAGUAUUUUUAACUAUAGUCGCCAUUCUAUACGUUAGAUCCCCAGAACUUACUCACAUUAUAACCAGAAGUUCACUCCCUUGGACCAGCAUCUCCUCAUUUCCCCCAUCCCUAGCUCUGGCAACCACCAUUCUAAGUCUCUGUUUCGGCUUCUGGGAAUGAACAUUGUUUAGAAGCCACAUAAAAGUAAGAUCA
ensembl:lncRNA